AUGCUGGUUUAUACAUAGUAUUUCUUACUAAAGGAGUAAUUUAGAAAGAAGAAAAAAAAAGAAUUUGCAUGAAAAACUAUUCUAAAAGUGGAGCAGUUACCAUGGGCACAAUUGAAAUGUUGCUAAUGAUUUCUCUGCUUUAAGAACUUUUCACAAAAUGUCAUGUUAAACCUUCCAAUGUUUUGUCGCGGUUGUUGUUUUUAAAUUUUUAACUACUUUUUGUUUUUGUUUUCUCACAACAGAUUUGCAGCCAAGACUAAUGUCACCCCUGCCCCCAUCUUUAGUGCUUGAAUAUAAAAUUAUAUUAAACAAAUAAGUGUAAUUGUACUCAGAACAGGAAAUCACAAUUCUAUACAUUAUAGCCCUGGUUUUGCAUGUCUACUCUUGAUUACACACUGGUAAUGAUAGUAAACACAUUUACUAUAAAUUCAAACUCUAGUCCUCUUCCUUAAACAGUCUAAGUCUAUUUACUGAUUUCUGACUCUAUCACAACUAACUCCAUACAGAUCCCAAGAACUUGAUGAUUAAAAUCAAGCACAUUCAAUAACUACAGCAGAAUAAAUGUACUCAUAUUGGAUCAACAUAUUUUUUUUCCAUCAGAAACUUUGAGAGCAAUUGUUGACAUCUUGAUUUUAUGUUACAAUCUGUGCAUGUGUCUAAAUGAGUAAGAACAAUAUAUUUUAGAUAAAAUGUAUGUCCAAAGUGAGUUAAUGCUGUCGAUUCUGUUAGAGAUCUUGGGUAACCAACUUUAUUAUUAUACACUCUAUUAAGUGUUAUUUUUAUUUUGUCUCAGAGUGCACAGCCUGUGAAAUACACACAGCAAAGAAAGUGGUGUGGUUUGUGGAAUGUGACCAUGCAAAACAACUACUAAGUAUCAGCUGCACAUCCACAUAUACAGCAUUUGGCAAAAAUAAGCAUCAGAUCAGAGCUUGCAUGAGUAUCAGGACACAGUUCUACAUAUUAUAUCGAAUUAUAGGAACCUAUACAUAUCACCGUGCAUACCCC